rnacentral:tRNA from 1 species
GGCUCUUUGGUCUAGAGGCAUGAUUUCUCUUUCGGGCUUUGUCCCCUUCGCAGCUGCGGAGGUCCAAUAGAGGAGGUCGGGGGUUCGAUUCCCCCAAGAGCCC